rnacentral:misc_RNA from 1 species
UAUUUAUGUUGUUUAAAACCCUCAUAGAGGAACUAUAAAUGUUUUAGCAAGCCCAGGUAUUUUCAAUAAUUUUACAGUUUGCUGACAUGGCUGAAUUACAAUUUUAUUAGUCUGAGCUCUUAAUGUCUUUUUACUUAUGUUUUUAGGUUUGCUGGAAUCUUAAUUAGUCUAGUAGUCAAAUAAAAGAGGGAAACUUGUUUGUCUCCAUAUUUUAUCUUAGGAGUCCAAAUAAUUGAAGGCUUUUUUGAAGAAUAAUUGAAGGUUAGCAUUAGUUUUUAGUCUAUAAACACCUACACUUGUAAUGCUUUCUAUUCAGCUUAUUAGUUAAAUCCCAACUGUGUUUUCUAAUUUGUGUGAAGCAAUUCUAACCACAGAAAGUGAAGUUUUCUUGAUAGGAAUGAGUCCUAGAUCUUACGAGUGUGAACUAGUAGAUUAUUUUGUUUGCCUUUUCUUUUUCUUUCUUUAUCUGAGAGAGAGAGAGAGAGA